CCGACUCACUCUCCUCCCACCCUUCAGUACAGUGAGCCACUCAGGCGGAGGACGGGACGUAUCCCUGCUCUAAACCCACAAAGGGUGAGAGACACGCAGGACUCACUAGUCACGCUGAAAACAGGUCGUCUUUUAACUUGAUCCAGUAACCAUUCAAUCAGCUUGGUGUUUUCUCCUUUGCUUUCGUUGUAAAACUUCAGCUCAGUCAGCGUUUUACCGUUUUCUCCGCGCCUGUAUCGCUGGCUCAAACCGUGUCCCCGUUUGGGCUUGUCGGAGAGCUCAACUUUUACCGAACGGACAGAAACAAAUGAAAGUGCCCUCAGACAUACAGGAGCGUUGGGAGCCAGUGGGAUGUUAGCUGUGGCUGAGACAGCAGGAGCGACUGAAGGAGCAUGGUGAAACACCAACCCCUCCAAGUCUAUGAGCGCCAGCUGUGUUUGUCAUGUAUCACUGGGAUCUAUGGGUGCAGAUGGAAGCGCUAUCAGAGGUCACAUGAUAACACCACCAAGUGGGAGCUGCUGUGGUCUAUCAUCCUCCUUUUCACCUUCUCUCUGCUGCUCAUCUGGUCCUACUUCUGGUGGGAGGCAGACAACGACUACAAUGAAUUCAACUGGUUCCUGUACAAUAACUCUGGGGAGUGGGCUGAUGGAACCGUUCCCAUCCUAGCAACAACUGCUGCUGGAUUCACCUACAUUGCAUUUUUAAUGGUUUUAGCACUUUGCCAUGUUGCACUUGGGCAACAGUUGAAUUUGCACUGGCUUCAUAAGAUAGGAGUAACUGCUUCUUUACUCACCACUAUUGUGGGGAUAAUAUCAGUCAAUCAAACAUGGACACAAGAGUGGGAUAUCAUCCCCAUCUCCUUGCAGGCUACAGGUCCAUUCCUGCAUAUAGGGGCUCUUGCUGCAGCCACAGCCUUGUCAUGGAUUGUUGCAGGACAAGUUGCCCGUGCAGAAAAAACAAUCUUUCAGGUGGUGGUUGUGUUGCUGUACCUCAGUGUGUUACUAGGACUCUACGUUCUGCCACUUUAUAUCUCCUCCCCCUGCAUCAUGGAUCCCAGGACCCUUAAACCACGGCCAGAGGUGUUUGGCCACCAGGGAGCCCCCAUGCUUGCUCCAGAGAACACGCUGUGGUCGUUUCAGCGAGCUCUGCAGAUGAACGUCACUGGACUGGAGGCUGACGUAGCCAUAAGUGUGGACGGCGUACCUUUCCUAAUGCAUGACCUCACCCUGCGGAGAACCACAAACGUGGAUGAGGUUUUUCCAGACAGAAAAACAAAAGCAGCUUCACGGUUUAACUGGACGGAUCUGCAGCAGCUCAACGCAGGAGAGUGGUUCCUCAAGAAUGACCCCUUCUGGACCGCAGGCUCCAUGUCCCAGAAGGAAAGGAAUCUCACCUCCAAGCAGAGGGUGUGCAGCCUGGAGCAGCUUCUAAAGAUGGCCUCCGAUCACAACAUCACAGUAGUUGUCAGAUUGCGGAGGCCUCCUCGUGAUCACCCCUUCAACUCCACAUGGAUCAAUGAGACGCUGCAAGUAGUGCAGAAUUCUGGACUUCUUCAGAAUCUGGUGAUGUGGACUCCGGAUGAUGAGAGAGAGCAGGUGAAGCAGUGGGCACCUGGCUUCAUCCAGACCUCGCUGGUGAAACGCAGUCCAGAAAAUCUGCACAGCUCUGGCAUCAGCGGGCUGUUGCUCAGAUACAACCAAGUGAACACUGAUGAAAUCACAAACUUCUCCAAAAACAACAUCAGCCUUACUCUCUACACUGUCAACGAGCCGUGGCUGUUCUCGAUGCUCUGGUGCAGCGGCGUGUCAGCUGUCUCCUCAGAGGCCCCACAUAUCCUCAGAAAGGUGCCUUCUCCCAUCUGGCUCAUGAGCCCAAGAAAUUACCGGCUGAUAUGGGUGUCUGCAGACCUCAUUUCCUUUGCUGUAGUCAUAGGAAUAUUCAUUUUACAAAACUAUCACAUGAUCAGGUAUCGAAUGAGCGGCAUACGCAGCUACAAUCCUGAACAGAUCAUGCUGAGCGCGGCGGUCAGGACGUCCAGUCGAGACAUCAACGUCAUGAAGGAGAAACUGAUCUUCUCCGCUCAGCCUCAGUAAUGGCUCCCCGUCAGCAUCCUUUGUGUGACGUAUCGCCUCCUGACCAUCCUACCUCGUCCAUUCUCUCCGCAAGCAGUGACUGUCUCCCCUUUCCACCAAACAUUUCCUCAUCGCUCAUUAAACCUCUGCCUACUUUGCCCCUUUUCCCCCUCAUCCAUCCAUCCACCAUUCCAUCUCUUCGCACUCAUCUUCCCCCAUAAGCCUCCUACUGGGACAUAGAGUAGGAGAUCUUAUAGACCAGUUUGUCUAGACAACCUGUAGCCCUGGGGAGCAAAAAGGUGAGGAACGGUGGCAGUGCUGAGGAGCUGUAUGAAGAGCAAUGCUUUGACUCCUACACCAAUCAGAGUAUCAGCCAGUGAUUUCCUGCUCCGUCUGUCUGCUUGCUGUGGUGACGCAGGAAGCGUCAUUCCUGUUAACGAGAACUCUCAGCCUCCUGAGCUGCUGGAAACGCCCCGCUGCUCUCUGUACGCUCUGUAAAUACUGUUUCUGUUUCUCCUCACUGACUUUACAUUUAUUGCACAAGACUACACUCACUUGUUUUAAGCUGAAUCUGAUGAUUAUCUAAUAUCUAAAUGUUCAGGGGCUCCCCAUCAUUUUUUUUUUUUUUAGUUAAAGCUAAGUUUCCAAAAACAGUUAUUAUAUUAGGAUCUGUAAAUGUUAUGGCAGCAUGAUGCUCCUGCCUGCAGUCUCUGCUGUAGUUCAUAAAAUUAAUAUUUAUAUUUAAAGAGAUAAAACUGUUUACAGACAUUUUGCCUUCUCCCCCAUGUUCACACGGUGCAUGUAAAGUAUUUUGAUACUCCCCGCCUGGCGUACUUCUGAUCACUGGAUCCAAGUGUUGGAAACUUCUGGACUUUGUGUGAGCAGUGCUCCCAGUAAAACCAGAACUGGUGAAAAAUGGUUUCUAGGGUUAAGAUUUGCUUUUUCUUGGUUAAUUGUUCGUGUUUCCUUUUGUAAUGUGUUCAAUAUAAUGUAUGGAUUCUGACUGGGUAUAUUUUUUUUACCUUGUGUGCAGUGUUAUGAUGAAUGUGUAAUCAUAAGGAUAACUUAUUGACAAUGUGACACUUUAAUCAUUAAGAUGAACAGGCUGGCCUUUGAUUUGCUGUCAUUCUUUGGUAUUUUCAUGUUGGGAAACGUAUUGCAUGUGACGCCUGGUGUAAAUACUGUACUGGAAAAUAAAGUGAAGCUGGUUGAAGGGAUAUUACAUGUUAAACAAGCAGAACAUACUGGGAAACCAGUCGCCUUUUUUUCAUUGUAUAUUUUAGUUUGAGUGCUGCGAUGCGACAGAAUAACAUUCAUUCUGAUUGUUCCACAAAUGAUCUCCAAAUGAUGCCAGUUCCAUGAAAUGUUCUAAGUAAAGAAAAUCUUGACUUAAAUUAAGUUA